rnacentral:tRNA from 1 species
CGGUAGCUCAGUGGAUAGAGCAACGGUUUCCUAAACCGUAGGUCGUGGGUUCGAGUCCCGCCCG